GAUGAACGCUGGCGGCGUGCCUAAUACAUGCAAGUCGAGCGAGCGGACGAGAAGCUUGCUUCUCUGAUGUUAGCGGCGGACGGGUGAGUAACACGUGGAUAACUUACCUAUAAGACUGGGAUAACUUCGGGAAACCGGAGCUAAUACCGGAUAAUAUUUUGAACCGCAUGGUUCAAAAGUGAAAGACGGUCUUGCUGUCACUUAUAGAUGGAUCCGCGCUGCAUUAGCUAGUUGGUAAGGUAACGGCUUACCAAGGCAACGAUGCAUAGCCGACCUGAGAGGGUGAUCGGCCACACUGGAACUGAGACACGGUCCAGACUCCUACGGGAGGCGGCAGUAGGGAAUCUUCCGCAAUGGGCGAAAGCCUGACAGAGCAACGCCGCGUGAGUGAUGAAGGUCUUCGGAUCGUAAAACUCUGUUAUUAGGGAAGAACAUAUGUGUAAGUAACUGUGCACAUCUUGACGGUACCUAAUCAGAAAGCCACGGCUAACUACGUG
rnacentral:rRNA from 1 species